UGUUGGCUCUGGUGGGUGGCUGGAUGCAAACGAGGCAUUUUAACAUUAUGGUUCAGUUCAUCUGUCCGGUCAAGAUCUGUCCCACUAACACUGUGCAACUGUGUGUAAAUUUUCUGGGAUGAAACCAGUUUUAUAAAGAAAGCUGGAGACCACUCUGAAAUGCGUAAGUCUUGAGGUAGCUUGGAUUGCCAGCCCUGCAGAUAGUGCCAGAUCUCCAGACUAGAGAGGCGAGAGGCGUGGCUGAGUACAGCAACCCACCUGGGCUCUGUAGCCAGGUGGGCUUUGUGGGGUCACUGCCCCUACAGGUGGGUUAGAUAUGGGAAUGUUUUUAGAAUUGAGAAGCCAUAAGGGCUGCCUUGUGUAUUCUGGAUUCUCAGUCAUCUAAAUACAAGGAAGGGCCAGAGAGGGUGAGACAGUGAGGCCUCUGCCAGCUGCUGGGGAUACCGAGCCUAAUCCUGUGUUUUCAGAAUUGAAUAAACGGUGAAGAGUGGUCUUUUUUAAAACAACAUAGCCAGUUCUUAUACUUCCCACUCUUGGAUAAACCAUGCAGAAUGGUCUUUUCUGAAACAACAUAGCCAAUUCUUAUUGGAUAAACCAUGCAGAAUGAUCUUUUCUGAAACAACAUAGCCAAUUCUUAUAGUUCCAUCCUACUAGCAGCCAAGAGUAAUGAGCAGCGUUUCCUGUCACACUCCCUGACCCAGUCACGGUGAUGGUUAAGACACCCCCUCUUGUCUGGCUAGCUUGCUGUACUGUGAACUGGGCAUUCGUACAGGUGUGUCUUUUGAGGAAACAGUCUUUAGUAACAGACUUCCCUCUCCCUGCAAAUAGAAAGACUAAUUCCAUUAUUCUAGGCCUGAGGAAUAGGAACCACGUUUUGUGAUUAAAAACUGAUUUAAAACCAGGUGAGGCCUUCAAGGCGACCUGGUGGAAUUUAGGAAAAUUACACCCAGUUAGAACCUAAAAUAGUAGUGCAUUUGAAAAUACAAAACGAGAUGUUCCAAAUGUGAACUGUUCCUGUGAUGGAUAGAUCUGUUUGAAACCACUGAAAUACACCCAUGAAAGGCUGUGGACGAUACAGAGAAGAAAAUAUUUAACCAAGAAAGUUUUGGCACCAGCACAUAGGAGAGAAAAAAACCUUAAUAGACAGCCAGGUUCUCAACUGCUGCAUUCAGUCUGUUGGAAUAUGUUGUUUUGGUUGAAGUGUUGGAAGAAACUGUCUUCACAAAGAUAGGUCGCUGGAAAGAGAAGUAUUUUAAUAGCCCUUCAGGUGCUUGUGGAUAUUCUUCUUUGAUACUUCAUCAGAACUCAACAAGUGGUAGUCUACUAAAGCUUAGUUAAUUGCAAUAUGGAAUGUGCAAACUUAUCGAUGAACUUAUAUGCUCUGCUUCAUUAAAAUCCAUGGUCUCUCUUGCACUUUGAAUGACUUUUACCCAUACAUGAUACUACGUCAUCAGACACUAGUGAUUUGGAAAAUGUUGGUUCACUGAGUUAUGUACACCUCCUCAAUGUUGACACAUUUUAUUCUUUAACAUCAAAAAAAAAUCGUGUUUGUCAGUGACAUUAUUGAUCUUCUCAGAUAAGCCAUUAAGUAUUGGGGAGCCGUCAUGCUUUCAGUGGGGAGUACUCAUUUUCCCAGAUUCUAAUUUUAUCAUUGCCAAUCAAUACUAUCAGAGUUUUCCUUGAAAUGACAGGUUUUGUUUUUGAAAAAAUGUCUACCAGAUAUCCAAGUCAAAAUAACCAUAGUUUGUCAGUCAUUCUUUCUAGUCAAAAUGGUGUUCCAUGAAGAAAGCAGCUAAUUGAGCUCAGAACUCAAACAGGCCCGUAUGUGCUUUCCCUUGAGGUAACCAGCUUUAUGCAUCCCUCUCCUUCAUCAUAUAAAAUGCUAAAAACAAGUUGUACUCUGGGAUCAAGGACAUUCGUAAGUGAAAUUGUCUGUUUUUUUUUUUUUUUUAACUGAGCGUAUGACUCCUGUUAAAAUGUGGUGCCGCUGCCUUGAUCGAUUCUAAAGGGCCAACAAUUGACCCACCAUCGCUCCUCUAGAUGUCAACACAGUGAAGAAGGCAAAUCUGAGUAUUAUGAAAAUAAUUUUGACCUUGCAGACCCCCAAGCGUCCACAGAUCAACUUUCAGAACCCUCGUUCUUCAAAUUAAAGCUCGCGGGCUGGUAAUAUUAAGUAACUGUUCACUGCUUUCACUCCUCUACACGUGUCUGUUAAGCUGUUAGCCUUAGGGGAUCUUGAGCUCAUCAAGGCGGGAGGGCAUCCAGAGUGAGAGACACCCCUGCCCCGGUGAUGGAGGAGAGUGAAAGAUGGAGUCAGAGACCUGGGUUUGAAUUCCAGCUGUCCUCGGGGAAGUCCCUUCACCUCAGCGUUUCUCAUCUGGAAAAUAGGCAUCAUAAAAUCUGCCUCGUUUAUUUCAUGAGGAUUCACCAAGUAAAAUGUAAAUGAAUACUUAGCCUAACAGUGUCUGGCACGUCUGUGUUCAGUAGCAUUAGGUACAGUGACCAGUACCACCUGUGCUCACUUCCAGGCUGGUCACACAUGCCAUCAGCCUAUUUUGGAAUAUUGAAUUCUGCAUUUAAACUGGAGUGCACUCAGAGAGAGAAAUCUUAAAGACAAGGAAACUUAAAACCACGUCAUGUGGGGGAAGUUAAGGAAAUGGGAGAGAGAAGGCUGAGGAGGAGCUGAGAGUUGUCUGCUCUUUGAGGGUCUGGUAAAGGAAGGGAGGUGGCAGCCAGGGAAGCCACACGUGAGCAACAGAAGGCGUUUGCCUUCAUCUGACGAUGAACUUUCUGUCAUCUGGCCAAAAGUGGGUCGAGCUACUUCAGGAGGUAGUGAGCUCGCUGUUAGACCUCUUUCAGACAAGUUUUAGGAAACCAUUUGUCAAGAAUGUCCUAGAAGGAAUUUGUGGGUUGCAAUUGGACUAAACCCCCAAAGAGUUUCCUGGGACAAGACUUGGGCAUUAUGGAUGACCAGAGUUGAGUAUUCUUUAACUUCAUUAUCUGUCAGCUUUAGAAAGUACAAGUGCAGAGUACAAAAACUUUGAGAAUUACCUUAAUUUUUAUCACUCUGAUGUUUGGGGUUACCAGUGAGUGCUCGAGUAAGAAAUGAUAACUCCAGACCCACCUCUGGGGAGCCUUUGGUCCUGAUCCAUCAGCCUGGGGUGGCUUAGGCAUUGCUGAGAUUGCCCUGAACUCAGGAGAGGAGGCUGGAUGGGGUGGCUGAGCAGCCCACAGAAAACAAGGCUUUGGCUCCUCUGUUCCAUCGUGUCCGUUUCUCGAACUUCAGUUUUCUGGUCUUAACCUCUUCAGUAAGCAGCCUGCCUCAGAUGCUCUGAUUACUCAACAGAACGGGCACUGCUGUCAUAGAGAAAGUCAAGACAAGUAGUGGCAGUGGAAAGUGGCAGUCCUUGGUCCAGCUCCUCACUGCAGGGACGGGGUGCCUGGUGGCUCAAGUGUUUCCUCUUCCUGUUCACCCUUGGCACAUGAGCUUCCCUUGUCACCACUCUCCUUUGUCCAUGUUUUACCUCGGUUGCCCUGGAACGUUUUCCUUGUUUAUUUUUUUCCCCAUUCCCACAGUUCCUGUGGAUGAAGGUAUUUCCACUCGCUUACUGUCCCUGACACACCCUUCCUUUGAAAACAAACAUGGGCAUUGAUGACCUGGCUCGAGAAAGCUGGAGCAGCCCGUUGCCAGCAAACUGGGAGGGCUGGCCUCCCCCGGGGUGCUGUGGUCCAGGCUUUGACCCCGGGAAAGAAUCCUCCUGGCCCAAGGAGCAAACAUCUGGCAAAACAAAACAGUGUCCCUGGGUCAAGGAGGUGGCGUCGGGUGGGGAAAAAAAUCAUUUCAGCAUUUUUUAAAAGGCGUAUUUAACCCCAGUUAAAAGAAAACAUUUAAAAAGUUCUUUGGGCCCAAAAAUAAUGCAGAAAUGUGGGGUUCACAGCAUGGAGCUGGUCUGGCAGACCUGGAGUCAGAAGGCCUGGGCUGAGCGCUGGCCUCCCUCCAGCCGUGGAUCACAGGCACACAGCUGAACCUUCACCGGCUCAUCUGUGAGGUCAGGGCUGUGGUACUCACUUCACCAGGUGGCUAUGACAGCGGUAUGCGAUGUAUGUAAACGUACUUUUCACAGUCCGAUGUCUUAAAUGUGUUCUGUGAGUUUGAGACUCUGUAGGGCCACAUGUCAUUUUUACCCGAUUUAGGAAGCUGUUCUAAGAUGCAGUUGUUAGCACUGCUGAGCCUCUUUAGCCAAAGUGCAUCUAAUGUUAUGCCCUCAUCCUGUGGGGCAGAAAUUGGCACAUUUCUCUGUUCAGAGCACCCUUAGGGGGUUUUCACAAAACUCCUGGAGAAUCCUCACUUGUGGAAUAUUCUACUGAAACUUAUUUUUCAGCAUGGGACAGCAGAGAUUAUCUGUUAGAGCUUAACUGUGGACUUUUCCUUAGGGAUCUGUGACACGGAAAUGGUUAUAUGGCACUUUUUCCGGUGGUUUCAUAUCAGGGUUUGGUUUGUUUUUAUAUCGUGCAUGUUUUAUUGUCCAGUUAUUAUAAUAUCAAGAUGGAAGAUUUUGCAAAAGGGGAAAAAAAAUCACCUAAUUUCAGUAUUUUAACAGUGUAGUCAUUUUCAUUCUUCCAUCUUUUUAUGUUCGCGCCCGUAUAACAGGGUGUAUAUUUUGUAUGUAGUUUUGUUUCCAUUUGAAUUAUAAACAUCUUCAGUGUUGCUACAGUUUGGGUAAUUAUAACAGCAUGAUACAAAUGAAAGAUUAAAAACUAAGCACUUAA